AGUGAACGCUGGCGGUAGGCCUAACACAUGCAAGUCGAACGGCAGCACAGUAAGAGCUUGCUCUUACGGGUGGCGAGUGGCGGACGGGUGAGGAAUACAUCGGAAUCUACUUUUUCGUGGGGGAUAACGUAGGGAAACUUACGCUAAUACCGCAUAUGACCUACGGGUGAAAGCAGUGGAUCUUCGGAGCUUUCGCGAUUGAAUGAGCCGAUGCCGGAUUAGCUAGUUGGCGGGGUAAAGGCCCACCAAGGCGACGAUCCGUAGCUGGUCUGAGAGGAUGAUCAGCCACACUGGAACUGAGACACGGUCCAGACUCCUACGGGAGGCAGCAGUGGGGAAUAUUGGACAAUGGGCGCAAGCCUGAUCCAGCCAUACCGCGUGGGUGAAGAAGGCCUUCGGGUUGUAAAGCCCUUUUGUUGGGAAAGAAAAGCAGCAGGUUAAUACACCGAUGUUCUGACGGUACCCAAAGAAUAAGCACCGGCUAACUUCGUG
rnacentral:rRNA from 1 species